CAGUGCUAACAACGGAAACUACACAGGUAGAGUGUCAGCAAUAUUGUAAUCCCUCAAGUCUUGUAACAGUGCUAACAACGGAAACUACACAGGUAGAGUGUUAGCAAGAUAAGUAUUCAUCAAGUCUUGUAACAGUGCUAACAACGGAAACUACACUGGUAGAGUGUCAGCAAGAUUGUAAUCCCACAAGUCUUGUAACAGUGCUAACAACGGAAACUACACAGGUAGAGUGUCAGCAAGAUAAGUAUUCAUCAUGUCUUGUAACAGUGCUAACAACGGAAACUACACUGGUAGAGUAUCAGCAAGAUUGUAAUCCAUCAAGUCUUGUAGGGACGUAUUUUAUUGUUGAAGUUAAGGUAAGGGGCGUAUUUUAUUGUUGAAGUUAAGGUUAGGGGCCGCAUUUUAUUGUUGAAGUUUAGGUUAGGGGGCCGCAGUUAAUUGUUGAAGUUAAGGUUAGGGGGCCGCAUUUUAUUGAUGAAGUUAAGGCUAGGGGGCCGCAUUUUAUUGUUGAAGUUAAGGUUAGGGGCGUAUUUUAUUGUUGAAGUUAAGGUUAGGGGCCGCAUUUUAUUGUUGAAGUUAAGGUUAGAGGCCGCAUUUUAUUGACGAAGUUAAGGUUAGGGGGCCGCAUUUUAUUGUUGAAGUUAAGGUUAGAGGCCGCAUUUUAUUGACGAAGUUAAGGUUAGGGGGCCGCAUUUUAUUGUUGAAGUUAAGGUUAGGGGGCGCAUUUUAUUGUUGAAGUUAAGGUAAGGGGCGUAUUUUAUUGUUGAAGUUAAGGUUAGGGGCCGCAUUUUAUUGUUGAAGUUUAGGUUAGGGGGCCGCAGUUAAUUGUUGAAGUUAAGGUUAGGGGGCCGCAUUUUAUUGUUGAAGUUAAGGUUAGAGGCCGCAUUUUAUUGACGAAGUUAAGGUUAGGGGGCCGCAUUUUAUUGUUUUAGUUAAGGUUAGGGGGCGCAUUUUAUUGUUGAAGUUAAGGUUAGGGGCGUAUUUUAUUGUUGAAGUUAAGGUUAGGGGCCGCAUUUUAUUGUUGAAGUUAAGGUUAGGGGGCCGCAUUUAUUGUUGGAGUUAAGGUUAGGGGGCGUAUUUUAUUGUUGAAGUUAAGGUUAGGGGGCCGUAUUUUAUUGUUGAAGUUAAGGCUAGGGACCGCAUUUUAUUGUUGAAGUUGAAUUUGAUUGGAAAAUAUCAACAGAAUAUCGGUAUUCCGACAGCAUUUAUCACACGGAGUUGUACCAGUAGAUUUUAACAUGUUUUAUUGAAAAUACGUCGGUAAUAUAACUUGAACAACUUUCAAGUACAACAAAUAUUAAAGAAUUAAGUAUGUUAAGCAAAUACAUAUAUAUAUACCCUAUUAUAUUAAUUAGUGGAGAUAUGUUUGAUUUUGAACAUUACUGAUCAAUUCGUACACUAUAACCAAUGUUGUAACCUAAGCUGUAUGAUAUAUGUACCUAUAUAUAUGUACCUAUACAUCUGAAUG